UCUUAUUGCUUUUUUCUUAUUCAUUUUUUUUAUUAUUGUUAAUAAUAAUAAUGAAUAUCGGAUCUUUUUGAUGAUGUUUGGUUUUUGAUUUGCAGAUGUUGGUUGUGAAUCUCUUUGCUUUAGUGGCGAUAAAUCAGCAUUCAAUGAUGUCGUGUAAUGAUGAGGUGAUGAGUUUGAUAUUUUUUUUCUUAGAAUCUGUGUUUUGAGCAUUUUUAGUUUUCUAUGGGAAAAAGAAUUUGGGGAGAAUAAUAUGUGUACCUGAAACCAGAUCAACUUUCUGUUUAUUUUUACACUGGCAAUCAAAAUUCUUGCUUUUUCUAAUUUUUGGAUUCAUCAUUUACUGCCUUCAUCAGUAGCAUGACAUACUUUAUUUUUCUUUUCCUAAUUCUUAAUUUUUUUUGUUUGUUUCCUGCAUUUGCUGCCUUCAACAGUAACACGACUUAUUCUAUUUUUUUUCCCAAUUCAUAAUAUUUUUUUUCCUCAUUAAUGCAUGAUGCGGUUUCUUUUCAACCAGAUUAUGGUAAGAAAUUUACGAAUAUCAAUCGAUAUUAUUUCCAAGAUUUAGUUUUUGCCUUCUUCAGAAGAUAAAUAUGGCUACCAUAAAUUGAUAUUAUUUCCAAUAAAUCGUCUUCUAUUUAUGGAAUUUCCGGGCUUGGUCGAAUUCUAUAUAAAGCACUCGCACAAAGAUGAUGGUGAUAUAUCCUCGCAGCGAAGGACGAAACGAUGAACUUUUAUCUUUCAUAGUUCAUAGUUUUUCCUUAAACAUCUUCUAUUACGCAACCUUGAUCGUAAUCGUUCCUCAUAGUCAAUAUUGAAAAAAUAAAAUUAAAUCGGAAGUUUACUUUCGUACGAGUGUAUAGGUGAGGUACGUUCAAAAGUGUUUCAUGGGAAACUCGAAAGUGUUUAUGGGAAUCCUGAUCAAUUUCCGCAAGAGGUAUGCUCAAGCUUUUCAUGGGAAGCUCGAAAGUACUUAUGGGAAUCCUGAUAAAUAUCCGCAAGGAUUUGGAUUAUCUGUGUUUUCUUGGUUUAGGAGCAGGAGAUUGUCAAGAAGGUUUUUAAGAUCAAGAAACAAAAGGAGAGUGUUGCAAAUAGAUAGAUUUGUGAAAACUUUUUUGGGUUAUAUUAGAUGAAGGAAAUUUUGACUUUCAAGUAGAUAACAAAUGCGUGUUUUUAUGUUGUUGGUUUGGUUCGAAUAAAUCGUUUCUUUUGCGUAAAGGUUAAUUUAGGUUCUUUGUUUUUAUGAAAGACCCUGAAUUCGUAUGGGGUGGCAUCCAAGGGUUCGACAAAGGGGUCUAAUAAGUGAUAUGGUGUAGGAGUUCAUCACAGUUACAUUAUAGGUUGAGUUUCUUUGGUUUGUCCUAGGCUUUAGUCAGUUCACUGAUAUAAACUCUUUCAUGUUUGUCGACUGCA